rnacentral:rRNA from 1 species
UGUGUAGGCGGUGCUCUAAGUUUGGUGUGAAAUCUCCCGGCUUAACUGGGAGGGUGCGCCGAAAACUGGAGUGCUUGAGUAUGGGAGAGGUAAGCGGAAUUCCUGGUGUAGCGGUGAAAUGCGUAGAUAUCAGGAGGAACACCUGUGGUGUAGACAGCUUACUGGACCAUCACUGACGCUGAGACACGAAAGCGUGGGUAGCAAACA